UUCAGAAAAUUAUGUAGUCAUAAGCCAUUUUUCUAUGGAUUGUAUCUUCUGAUACCUUUUCAACUGACCUGCAGGCUCACUGUACCCUUUUCUACACCAUACAGCUUUUAUGAAGAUUGGAAAUGGAUGGCACUGGUGAAGCUAUAGGAGAUCAGCUGACAGUUGACCGAAUGACCAAGGAAACCCCUUCUGAGCUGACUGCAGUAUUUAAUCCUGAAAGCUCUUCUAACAAGGAUGAAGAUUUGCUUGAUGGAUUAAGCCAGGAGGAAAAGGAGUGUGUAGAAUACUUGUUGCAGACAAUCAACAACUUGGAAGAGGAUAUUUUAAAGGAUGAUGAAGAGAAUGAGCACACAGCAGAAUCACUAGGUGCUGAAGACUACUCCAAGACCAGUGAUGACCUCAACAUUCAGCCAACUUUAUCCUCGGAGGGAGUCCUAAGCAAACCUUGUUCUCACCUGCUAGUUUCUAAGAUGAAGAUGUUUAAGUCCCUUUCAGUGGAAUCUGAUGAUGUUGCUCUGAGAAGCAGGACUGAUCUUUAUUGCCUCAAACCCAAAGGCCUUCAGAGAUCAUCAAACUCCCACCCUUCUCACAUAAGGAAGUUUGACACAAUAAUAAAGUCGGGUGUCAACGUCCAGGAACUUUGUUCUCGUUUCAACCUUCACUGUGACAAGCCCGCUCUUGCUGCUGCAGAGGCAAGGGAAGAUAUUGUAGGGGCAACUAAGCAGCUGGAGAAGUUGCCUGCAGGUCAGAAGUCCCCUAGGGUUGAAGCACUGCAGAAGUUGGGCCUUCUCCAUGGAAACUCAGGUUCUCCAAAUAUAAAUCAGUCUUUAGUGACUGAAGUGUGCCAGUAUGCCAAAGCAUCAUUGGUUGAGGCAAUGGCAAGAUUUGAUGAUGAUACUGAAGAAGAGUUGAAGGAGAUGAAAACCAGGAAAAGUUAAGAGAACAAAACAUGAAAUCCAGUGUUGCUUCUUUUUCAAGAUAACCCUCCAUUAGCAACAGAGCCAAAACUGGGCACUAGUGGGCUUUCUGGAGCAUUUUCUGGGCCUUUCCGCAUUUCCUGAUAGAAUGGGAUAUUGCAAGGCCCAGCCCUCUUCUGGGCCUCUUCUUCUGCGCUGCUGGUGUGGAACAAGAGAGGCCAUGCCCCUGCUAGCAUCUGUGUCUACAUUGGAUGUAGUGUAGCCCAGUCUAGGUGGCCAAAAUGGCUGCCUAGACAGGGACAUUGGUAGCCUUGCUUUUAAGUCUGCUAGCAUUCCAGGGGUGGCUAGACUGGCCCAAGGAGGCGUGUGGAAGGAUGCAAGCCUCCAUGGGCCGAUUUAGCAGGGAGACUCAUUUCAGUGGCACACAAAAUUGCAUUGCCAAAAUGGAUCCCCCUAGGGAUCCUGGCUGUUGCAGCCCUCAUGUCAAGCUCCAAAGUUUGUGUGAACUUCAGAGUGGCAUAGGGUGGUGUGUGUCCUGUCCUGGAACAGGCUAUCUAAGUGUGGAUGGCCUUUUUCCAGGCAAGCAGGACCACUCCACUACAGGACCACUCCAGCAAGUGCAGAAAAAGCCUCUGAUUGUCAGCAGAGAUGGGUUUGGAAGGAAGGUGUUUGUUUUCACUGAUAAUUUUCCUGUAUCUCCCCCGUGUUUCUAGUGUUGAAUUUGCUUGGUUUUAUUUUGCAUAAGCACACUUGAUGCCUUUAAACAUGGAAUGUUAUUUGAUAUAUUUCUGUACUGAGAAAAGUAUUUAAUAACUAAACAAGUCUGGAUCAACUCAUUCUCUUCUACUACUGGGGAAUAUCAUGCCAGAAUAAUUGGGUCCAAAUGGACAUGCCUGCUGUCCGGUGUGUCCUUGCAAAGCAUAUUUUUCCAUAUUUUUCUCUGAUGUUCUCUGUCCAACUGUCAGUCCUGCUGGCUACCAUGAGGAUUUUUGUCUGAAUUUGAUCUCUCUUUGGGCCUAUUCGCACUUGACGGUAGCAAGCAUUCUCAAUGCUUCUAUCCAAAUGCAUUCGCAUCGCAAGAUGGCUGAAGUGAGCGGAAGUGGGCUUCAUCUGCUCCUGAUUGCUACUACCGGUGGUGCACUAAAAAGUAGCCUGAUACCUUACCUGAAACUCAUAGUGAGCUUCAGGUAAGGUUCCAUCUGCAUUUACCUGCACCACAGUGACAACCAUCUUGGGUGCGAUGGGGCAUUGUGCAGCCCAAUUGCGUAGGCCUGAUGGUGCUGCUGCAAUCGGUCUGUCACGCAGGAGUGAUUGGCCUGUUACAUCUGUGCACUAUGUGAGCCUGCCAGUCCCCAUGGCAAUGGCUGAACGCUUGUCAGCCGCUGCUGUGACAACAACUGGGCACACGCCCAAUCGGGCCUCACAAGGUUGGACUGGGCAUUGCGCAGCCCGAUCCAGCUUUGCAGACCCGGUCAGGGCAUCACAGGCCCAACUGGGGCAUCAUGCAGGCCCAAUCAGGCCUGCACAAUCUGGCAGGCCUGACUGAGUAAUCGCGCAUGUGCGCACAUGCUUGUGGCAGUGCUGCCAGUUGCCUGCAAACGCCGGUAGCCAACUUCAAGACCUGUUUUCAGCCACGCAGCGUGGACAGUGUCCACACUGCGUGAUUAAGUACUACACUAGCACAGACUAAUUAGUCUGUGCAAGCGAAAUAAAUACGAAAACGGCUUUUGUUAUCCCA
rnacentral:lncRNA from 1 species